rnacentral:rRNA from 1 species
UACGGAGGGUGCAAGCGUUAUCCGGAUUCACUGGGUUUAAAGGGUGCGUAGGAGGGCAGGUAAGUCAGUGGUGAAAUCCCCGAGCUUAACUUGGGAACUGCCGUUGAUACUAUCUGUCUUGAAUACCGUGGAGAUGAGCGGAAUAUGUCAUGUAGCGGUGAAAUGCUUAGAGAUGACAUAGAAUACCCAUUGCGAAGGCAGCUAACUACGCGAUAAUUGACGCUCAUGCACGAAAGCGUGGGGAUCAAACAGG